rnacentral:rRNA from 1 species
UACGGAGGGGGCUAGCGUUGUUCGGAAUUACUGGGCGUAAAGCGCACGUAGGCGGCUUUGUAAGUUAGAGGUGAAAGCCCGGGGCUCAACUCCGGAAUUGCCUUUAAGACUGCAUCGCUAGAAUUGUGGAGAGGUGAGUGGAAUUCCGAGUGUAGAGGUGAAAUUCGUAGAUAUUCGGAAGAACACCAGUGGCGAAGGCGACUCACUGGACACAUAUUGACGCUGAGGCACGAAAGCGUGGGGAUCAAACAGG